AAACUUGAGAGUUUGAUCCUGGCUCAGAACGAACGCUGGCGGCAUGCCUAACACAUGCAAGUCGAACGAACUCUUCGGAGUUAGUGGCGCACGGGUGCGUAACGCGUGGGAAUCUGCCCUUGGGUACGGAAUAACUCAGAGAAAUUUGUGCUAAUACCGUAUAAUGACUUCGGUCCAAAGAUUUAUCGCCCAAGGAUGAGCCCGCGUAAGAUUAGCUAGUUGGUGGGGUAAAAGCCUACCAAGGCGACGAUCUUUAGCUGGUCUGAGAGGAUGAUCAGCCACACUGGGACUGAGACACGGCCCAGACUCCUACGGGAGGCAGCAGUGGGGAAUAUUGGACAAUGGG
rnacentral:ncRNA from 1 species